ACACGCAAUAGUUUUGAACAUAUUAGGCUACAUUAUGUCGGUGUUGAAGUGUUUAGAUUCCCAGCGCUAGUAGUAGGCAUUUUAACAGCAACUAUGGCUAUGCGCUAACACCCAUUAGCUGAGUUUGAUUAGCGAUAACGUAGGCUACGAGAUGGUUCCUUAGCCUCUUUGACAGCUCAGUGACAUCAGGUGAAGCAUACUCUAUCCACUGGUCCUCUGCAAACUCCCAGUACCAGGCCCACGUUGUGACGAGCAGCGAGACAGUGUGAAACUCUGGUGAUGUUACGGACAGGCGGCGCACCUCAGAUGACCCACAACGCAUCAGGUCAAAGUCCACAGUGUCUGCACCAUCAACGCAUCCCAUUCCAGGGCAGAGUUUUUCUCCAAGCACAAGGCAGCUCUGGAGACUCGUCUUCCCUCUGUCCUCGCCUCCAUCCUGAUUCCGCUCCAGGAGAGGCAGGUUCUUAAUCAACUGGAGCGGGAGCUGGUGGAGAGCAAAUCCAUCAGCGUGGAACGGAACAGUGUUCUGCUCACCAUGAUACAGAAGAAAGGAUCCACAGCCCAAAUUGAGUUCUACAAUGUUCUAAAGGAGGCCGACCCUACUCUGGUGAAAAACCUGGAAAAAAACACCUGAAUCUUAAGGACAGAGAAUUCUCCAAACAGAAAUUAUUUUGUCUUUUCUCAGAGCACAUAGCCUUUAAGGGUCUCCUCUCAUCUCAGAGAUCCUGCCAAAUAGUACUCCUCUUCACUAUAGAUGUUGUACUCUACGUGCAGUUGAUCUCCUGCUCCUAGCUUGUUUUGUUUGUGUACAAUGCUAUUGUUAAGCCCAAAAUUGAACAUUCGGUAUGUUUGACAUUGUUUUUUUUUAAUUAUUUUUCACAUGAAUGGGUUACUUUUAUGUAGGCCUACCCCAAGUAUACAACUAUGUUGUUAUAUUUUACUUAUAUUUUACU